rnacentral:rRNA from 1 species
UACAUAGGGUGCGAGCGUUGUCCGGAAUUAUUGGGCGUAAAGAGCUUGUAGGCGGUUUGUCGCGUCUGCUGUGAAAAUCCGGGGCUCAACCCCGGACUUGCAGUGGGUACGGGCAGACUAGAGUGUGGUAGGGGGAGACUGGAAUUCCUGGUGUAGCGGUGAAAUGCGCAGAUAUCAGGAGGAACACCGAUGGCGAAGGCAGGUCUCUGGGCCACUACUGACGCUGAGAAGCGAAAAGCAUGGGGGAGCGAACAGG